CUGGUAUUCCGGAGAGCAUGCCUGUUUGAGUGUCAU
rnacentral:rRNA from 1 species